GGGCUGGUGGGCGGGAUCGGUAGGCUUAAGCUGGGUUCCUCCUUCAUAUUGGUAGGACAAGAAAAUCCCAUUGCAGUCACUGGCCGCAGGCGCCGGUGCAACGUUGUUAGUCUGGGAGAUCGCAAAGGGUAGUAUAGUAACAAGAAUCAAAAAGAACAGAUCGAAGUUGAAAGCCAUGACUUGUGGGGUGGAGGUUGCUAAAGAGAACUGGAUUUGAAAUGGUUUUUGUCACCUUUUGAAGUGAGAAAAACGAUGACAAAAUGGGAAACGCGUAAGGGAUUCCUUUUACAGCUUCCACUAAGCUGUCUUUGCUGCGAGCAGUCACGUUAUUCUAAGAAGCUGAAUAAUUAC
rnacentral:misc_RNA from 1 species